rnacentral:tRNA from 1 species
CCCGCUGUAGCUCAAUGGUAGAGCACGUGGCUGUAGACCACGGGGUUGCCUGUUCAAAUCAGGCCAGCGGGA